UACGUAGGGGGCAAGCGUUGUCCGGAAUUAUUGGGCGUAAAGCGCGUGUAGGCGGUCCGGUAAGUCGGCUGUGAAAGCCCUGGGCUCAACCCAGGAAGUGCAUUCGAAACUGCAGAGCUGGAGUCCUGGAGAGGAAGGCGGAAUUCUCGGUGUAGAGGUGAAAUUCGUAGAUAUCGAGAGGAACACCGGUGGCGAAGGGCGGCCUUCUGGACAGUGACUGACGCUGAGACGGCGAAAGCGUGGGGAGCAAACAGGG
rnacentral:rRNA from 1 species